rnacentral:tRNA from 1 species
GGAGGAAUAGCUCAGUGGUAGAGCAUUUGCUUAGCAAGCAUGAGGUCCUGGGUUCAAUCUCCAGUACCUCCA